GGCAAAAGAAUUCAAUGACAGUACAUUAUUAAUGAGAAGUGAAUUUUAAAUAUACAUCAUAUAAUAUCAUGAGUACAAUAUUAAUUAUUUAUAUAACUCAUGUAAUUUUUCUUGUUAAAACAAGAAACUACAAAUAAAGGAGAAUCAAGUACCAAUAUAAAUGUCUCAAACUAAAAAAAGUACCAAAAUAAAUAAAUAAAUGUCGAUUGCUCUAGUCUCUUCAUAAGAAAUGGAUGACUACAAACGUGAGAGAUAAGAGUUAGUAGGGAAAUGAUAUACUACAAUUGGAGCUCCCUUUGAUUUUUCCUUACUCUUUUGUUUCUCUAAAGAUGAAGAUUUCAAUUUAGAUGAUUUUUCAUCAUAAUCAGAAACUUGAGAUGAUGAGUUUGAAGAAUGGCCAAAGCAACUUAAAAUGGAUGAAAUCAAAGCCAUAAAAAAAGUGAUUUAAUUUGCACUUUGAAGUGGGUUUUUUGUUUAUGUAAGUGUGCAAAGCUGAAAUGAUUUAGUUGUGGGUUGAACUUCAUGUAAUUAAUAACUUGAUCUAUUUAUAGAGUUAUCAUUUCAUAUCAUAUGAGAUAUGAUGAUAGUCAAAUUGCUUGGCGACCAAGCAGAACCUAAAUGGGACCACUUUGAAAAAAAUUCAUUUGUGGCUGCUUUGGACACUUGUUAAUCUCGUACAUGUUGCUUCGUUUGUCCUUUUCAAAGCUAUGUUUGGGAAUAUUCGGUUUUGCUGCUCUAGCGAAAUUCUACCUACAGUACACACUUUUUGAUCUUGGUCACAGGUUGAACGGUUAAGAUUGAAACAUGUGUUUUUUAAUUAAAACAAUCACAACCAUACAAUUUUGAUCAGACAACCAAUAUUAAUUACAACACUCUGUUGUAAUAGCAGGGAAUCCUAUUCCCUUUAUUUGGUGCAUGGAACAGAUGCCUGGCUUGGGGAGGAACUAGUCGUGGUCUUAGCCUAUAUUUUGUAUCCGAUAAAUAUGUUAAAAUAAUGGCGACCCAUCGUUCAAGGCCAACAAUGGUCUCCCCCUAGUUUUAGGUCGGGGAGGACCAGUUGGUUGACGCUCAAUUCACAUGAAGAAGUUUGAUAUCCCACCAGUGAUGACGUUGGCCGUAGGAAACGGUUCCCAUGUACAUGAAUAUGGAGUUAUAUCCACAUGCUCCACGAAUUCAUCCAGCUGCUCUACGGACAUAGCGACCACUAUGUCCUUAUUUUUCUUGUCGGUGAUUAAUUUGACGGUCUGCUUCUCAGGCUCGGGGUUCUUGGUCAACUGAUUGAGCCGACCUCGUUGUAUGAGGAUUUCAAUGGUAUCCUUCAGAUGGAUGCAGUCAUCAGUCAAGUGUCUAUGACACUUGUGGAAUCGGCAAUACUUUGUUUUAUCGGUUCCCUUAUUUUCUUGAGUAGGAGUUUUUGGCGGGUUUGAUCCCAACUUCUUUCAGAUCGGUAAUUGCAAUCUAAGCUAGGAUUUUUUUUCCCUGGACAACGCCAAGGACAUGUAUUCCGUGAAGCGACCGACGGGUCCCUCGCCUUCACGGGCAGGCUUUCCUUCCUUCUUUUUCUCUUGGAAUGGCUUUUUGGAAGAUUCAAAAGCAUGUUCUUCCUUCCUGGAUUUGUUGAGGCUGUCUGUGUGUAGCUCCUCCUCGUACCGUAUGUACGUCUUGGCGAUCGCUAGGAACUCAUUUAGAGUCCUUGGACGAUCGAGCUGGACAACCUUUUUCAUGUAUGUGUCUGCACGUAGAACUUUUGCAAUGAGAUACUUUUUCAUUAACUCGUCAGCACCUCGUACUUGCACAAUUUCUUUAUUGAACCUCUCGAUGUAAUCUCUGAUAGGUUAGCUCUUCCCUUGCGCUAUAGCUUCGAGGUACACCAUAGUUUUGAGUUGGGUCCUUGAAGCAGUGAAAUGAGCAGUGAACUCAUGGCACAUAUCGUCCAAUGAGUCAAUAUAAUUCAUCCUUAGGUUCUUGAACCUUGUCAUGGCUCCUCGUCGUAGGGUGGUAACGAAGAGCUUACAUUUCACGGCGCCCCGCACGUGUCUGUACGUGAGGACAACCUCAAUGUUCUCGAUAUGCUCGUCCGGAUCGAUCGUCUCGUCAUAAGAGCUCAAAUUUUCGAAUUAUUGUUUAAAUAGAAGAUUUGGCAAAAGAAUUCAAUGACACAGUACAUUAUUAAUAAGAAGUGAAUUUUAAAUAUACAUCAUAUAAUAUCAUGAUAGUAUACAAAUUAAAGAAAAUCAAAUACCAAUAUAAAUGUCUCAAACUAAAAAUGUACCAAAAUAAAUAAAUAAAUGUCGAUUGCUCUAGUCUCUUGAUAAGAAAGUGGAUGCAGAUUAAUACUGCAUGACUACAAACGUGAGAGAUAAGAGUUAACAGGGAAAUAAGAAACUACAAUUGGAGCUCUCUUUGAUUUUUCUUUGCUCUUUUGUUUCUCUAAAGAUGAAGAUUUCAAUUUAGAUGAUUUUUCAUCAUAAUCAGAAACUUGAGAUGAUGAGUCUAAAGAAUGGCCAAAGCAACUUAAGAAGGAUGAAAUCAAAGCCAUCAAAAAGUGAUUUAAUUUGCACUUUGAAGAGGGUUUUCUGUUUAUGUAAGUGUGGAAAGCUGAAAUGAUUUAGUUGUAGGUUGAACUUCAUGUAGUUAACUUGAUCUAUUUAUAGAUAUCAUAUGAGAUAUGAUAAUAGUCAAAUUGCUUGGUGACCAAGGAAAACAUAAAGGGACCACUUUGGAAAAAAAAAUAAAAAAAAUAAUUUGUGGCUGCUUUGAACACUUGUUAAUUAGAAUCAAAAUGUUGUUUCGUUUGUCUUUUUCAUUGCUUAUUUGGUGCCUGCAAUAUGGUUAUGAGGAACAAGUCAAGGUCUAAGUAUGAUUGACCAUCGCCAAACAAUUUUCUUUAAGAGAGUACAUCAAGUAUUAUUUAUACAUUGUUGAUAUUAUACUACUAACUUACGUUACAUCGGACCUGGAUCCUCUGCUGUAACCGCUUUAUGCAGUUUCACGCAGUGGUUAAUCUCAGCCAUAAAACAUUGAUCUAACAGUUCAUAUUUGUUCUGCUAAUUUUCACACAGUUUAAUUUCAGCCACUUAUUGUUGAUCGGACGGGUCACACGCCUUACAACAUCAUGCUGUUACAGCAGGAAAUCUACUUCCAACUAACGUCUACUAUCUUAGAAUUGUACUACACUAUUGUGACUUGUACUACAAGUUACUACUAUCUCAUUUCAUUUGUUUUCUUCAUGGUGCAAUACAUGGAACUAAAAGUAAAAAAAGUAAGAUGAACAAUUAUUGCACAAAUAAAGUUUGAAUGAUAGAGCAAAUAAUUAAAUACGUUCUUGAGUUAUGUAAAAUAAUAAUAAUUGAUUUUGUCAAAUUUUACUCAUAUGGGUCAUUCUAAGAGUCAAAGAUCAAAUUUUAUGAUAAGUUAAUAAUUAAAUAAGAGUCAAAGAUCAAAUUUUAUGAUAAGUUAAUAAUUAAAUUGUAGAUAAGUGGUUAAAUAUAGAGAUCAACUUGAUGAUUAAUGGCGUCAAACACAUUUUUAAAAUAUUUAUGAUCUCAAACUUAUUUGAGGGUGCCUUACAAAGUUAAAGACUAGCUUGAUGAUUUAGUUAUUAUACUAGGCCACAUUUAGGAUAAUAUUAAAAGAAUUUUUAGGGAGUAUUCCACAACUCGACACGUACCAUCCAGUCCUUGUAGUAACCGUCAACUAUGGAUUUAGAGCGGGUAUAUCAAGAGACAAAUGUAUUUAGAGACGGAUUCAGAGACAAAUGUAUUUAGAGGUGAAAUUUGAGAUGGAAGAUGAAUGUUUUCGUUAAUAACUCAUGAAAUGUAUUUAAUAACCAAUUACAGUCAUUAACACAAAGGUAAAAUCAGUUAAAUCUAAUCUAUGGUGGUUUUUAUCAUAUAUUAACGGUUCUUUUUUCCACUUACCAUGGUCUAAAUAUAAAACGUGCAAUUUUGACCCCUUAACUUUAUUUCCUUUGGAUUUACCACCUCCAACUUGGCAAAUUGAGGUAAUAUCGAUUUUUUUUUUUACACUUAGCAUGGUCUAAAUGGACAAGGUGAAAAUUAGUUAUUAUUAAAAUAAAAAAUGUUUUCCUAGGCAACACGUACCCAUUGUUCCAACCCAUCCUGUUGAAAAUAUAUUUUUUCAAAUUUGAUGAUUGAAGGUUCGACAUAAAUUGUGGCAUGAUUUGGUAAAACUGGGGCAUGAUUUUGGUUAAGAAUUUUAAGUCUGUCUCGACAAUUUUCGUAGCACGAAGAGGUGAAAUUUCGUGACACGAUUUUGUGUAUGGGGGUGUACGUGGGCUAGUUUGGGUUGGGUUUGGCCAAACCCAGAACCUAAACCAUAUAGGGUGCUCCAGUUUGGGUGAGGUAAAAUAAACAUCCAUUAUACCAUUGUGUUGGUUUGGGCAAACCCGUUAAUUUCUGGGUUGGGUUGGAUUGGGUAAUGGGUUACCCAACUUAUUUUUUCUUUUUUUUUAGUAGAAAAUUGCAUUUUUGACAUAAAAAACUUCAUAAAGACACAAGUAAAAUAAUUUAUUGCCCCUAACGGUAGUUAACUAUCGUUGGUAUAACCGCCGACAGUUAACUGCCGCUGUGACUCAGCGGUUGUUAACUGCCGUUGCUUUUUCCCCCCCAAAACCAGAAAAGCCAUACCUCAUAUUCACUUAUCACCUUACCAUUCCACAAAAAAUCCCCAUUUCAAAAAUCUUUUGUCAAAAUCUUUGUUUCAAAUCAUUGCUGAUCGAUUGCUAGGACGUUUCUACGCACAAUAUGCAUCAAAUAACAUGUAUUUCAACGUUAAACACCAUUACAUUUGAUUGAUUUUUGCUGUUUUUUUUUUCUACUGUCACGAGAUUUAGCGGCAGUUAACUACCGUUGGGAGUGAGUGGCUAUUAACUGCCGCGGGAUACUUAGAAAAUUUUCAAAUGGCAGUGCCACUGGCAAAAAAAAAAAAAAAAAAAAAAUUCAAUUUUUUUUUCCUUUUGUUUUUUUUUGUUUGUUUAUGUUAUUAUAUGAUAUUAGAUACAUGUUUAUUAAUUAGUUUACAAAUUAUAUGUUGUUUAUUUAUAGAUGCAGAUGAUGAUCCGGGUGAUCGAAAAUCUAGUGUUGUCGAUUCCGUUAAGGUUGAAGCUCCCAUUAAGUUCGAAGCUUCUGUGAAGAUUUAAGCUUCCGUUAAAGUAGAGGCUUCAAGCGUCAAUUCCGAUGUGUGUAAACUUCGUGACAACGAAGUGGACACGGCUCAUUUCUUUUCGACACGAGAUACAUGGAAAGAUAAAGAGGAAUUGCUCGGUUGGGUCCGUCAACAAGCAAAAGGGAUGGAUUUAUGGUUAUCAUUAGAAGAUCUUGUGAAGGUAGAAAUGCUAUGUUGGAGUUGGUUUGUGAACGAGCGGCGAACACAAAGUACCAAAUAGAAAAGUGAAGCAUGAAGCAACGAGAUCAAGAAAAUGUGGGUGUUUGUUCAAGGUGCGUGGAUAUGUCGUGAGGGAAAAGAAUGCUUGGAAAUUGACCAUUCUUAAUGGCGUUCACAACCAUGAGAUGGUGCGGUAUGUAGCAGGGCACCUUCUUGCCGGAAGAUUAAUGGAGGAUGACAAGAAGAUUGUACAUGGAGAGCCAGCCAAAGUUGUCGGAGAUUUGCAGUUUAGGACCGUUGGUUUUUCAAUUAUUUUACUUAUGGUUUUUCAAUUAUUUUACUUAUGUAUAUAUAUAAGUAAAAUAGGGAAAUUGGGGUCAAUCAUUUUCAGAAUUUUUACACUCGAAUUAUCUAAAUCAUUGAGAGAAAAGAGUAACAAGAAUGUAUAUACAUUGUUUGAUGAACCAUUUUUAUUAAAUGCAAUGCAAGUUUAUUUCCUUUAAACUUUCUUACUUUUACCUUUGAAGUUUAAGUAUUCUUUUAAAAGUCCUAAAAUAUUGUUUAAUUGUGUCGAAUUAAACUUUGAUCUUCAUCUUCUUCAUGUUUCAUCUCAAGAACAUGAUGAAUAUUCAAACAUUUUUUGAAAAAACAUUACACAUCAUGUCCUAGAAUUUUUAGUUUAAUCGUGCAAGUAACAUUUUAAAACUAGCGUCUUAUUUAUCGGAAACAAUUAUAAACAAUUGGCAUGUCUAGAGGAACAUUCUUGUGCAAUUUUUUGGAAAGAAAAUUCCAUUGGUUGAAAAAUUUUUCUAAGAGUGUUGAUAAGACUUCUUUCAUAAACUAAUUUCUGGGAAAGUUUUUUCAAGUGUGUCGAUAGAUUUUUUUAAGAAGGUUUUCAUUUGUGUAUGCGUUUAAGAAGUGACAAUGUCCUUCCAAAAAUGGCUCGUCCUAAUUCAACAAAUAAUUCAUCUGCAUCAAAUACACAAAGUAACGUUCAAACCACGCAAAAACAAUCAACCCAGACGCCAGUUUCGACAGUUAGAUGCGUCAAUGUGUCAACUGCUAUGGGAGUAACUUAUCCCGUGUCAUUUUCAACGGUUAGUGACGCCGAUGUUUUUUUUUCCUGAGUUGGGACAGGAGUUGUAGCUCUGCUCUUUGCUUACAUACGCUCAGUAGGCCACUGGUAGCUAUUAACAACUAUAGAUUCUACAAGAUCAUAACACUCUUUAUAGGACUUUCUCAAUAGUGCACCUCCUGAAGAGGCAUCUACCAUAAGAUUUGUUGAUGGAACAAACCCAUUGUAAAAGGUUUUCAUUUGAAUGCAUACACGUAUCCCAUGAUGAGGACACCUUCUCAACAGAUCUUUAAACCUUUCCCAUCCUUCAAAGACUGUGUUUCUUCAUUUGUUUGCCUGAAAGAGUUUAUCUCAUUCCUCUUUCGAGCAUUGGAGGAAAAUGUUUGACUAAGAACUUCUCAUCAAGUUCUCUUUAUUUGUUGUCACAAUUUUUAAGAUAAGAUUUUCAUUUUAAAUUUCUUAACAACGUCCUUAGAGCACUUGUUAACAUUUUUCUUAAAAUUAUGCUUGUUACAUAAGAACAGGUACAACUUCAACUACUUAAAUAAUUCAUAUCAAGAGCCCAGAGGUGGUUCUAAGAUUUCCAAUUAAUUAUUUGCUUUAGUUUGCAUACAAUCUUUUUCGAAUUAUUGUUUAAAUAGAAGAUUUGGAUGAAGAAUUCAAUGAUUGUAAAUGAUUAAUGAAGUGAAUUCCAAAUAUACAUAUCAUCAUAUAAUAUCAUGAUAGUACAACAAUAUUAACUAUUUAUACAACUCAUGUAAUUUUUCUCGUUAAAACAAGAAACUACAAAUAAAAGAAAAUCAAGUACCAAUAUAAAUGUCUCAAACUAAAAAAAGUACCAAAAUAAAUAAAUAAAUGUCGAUUGCUCUAGUUUCUUCAUAUUGGAUGACUACAAACGAGAGAGAUAAGAGUUAGCAGGGAAAUGAUAUACUACAAUUGGAGCUCCCUUUGAUUUUUCCUUACUCUUUUGUUUCUCUAAAGAUGAAGAUUUCAAUUUAGAUGAUUUUUCAUCAUAAUCAGAAACUUGAGACGAUGAGUCUAAAGAAUGGCCAAAGCAACUUAAGAAGGAUGAAAUCAAAGCCAUAAAAAAAGUGAUUUAAUUUGCACUUUGAAGUGGGUUUCUUGUUUAUGUAAGUGUGGAAAGCUGAAAUGAUUUAGUUGUGGGUUGAACUUCAUGUAAUUAACUUGAUCCAUUUAUAGACAUCAUAUCAUAUCAUAUGAGAUAGGAUGGGAUGAUAGUCAAAUUGCUUGGCGACCAAGGAGAACAUAAAUGGGACCACUUUGAAAAAAAAAUUCAUUUGUGGCUGCUUUGGACACGUGUUUGAAAAUCUCAUUUGAAUGCAUACAUGACUUAAUCAUCAAGUCAUGUAUUCUACAUGUUGUUUCCUCUGUCCUUUUCAAAG
rnacentral:lncRNA from 1 species